rnacentral:tRNA from 1 species
GGCGGCAUAGCUCAGCUGGCAGAGCAAACGGCUCAUAUCCGUUGUGUCAUUGGUUCAAUCCCAAUUGCCGCUA